rnacentral:lncRNA from 1 species
GCCUUCUGGGAAAUGAUAUAUAAUGAAUUAAAAAAGGUAUUGAAAUAUACUUUUCUAAAGAAACCAGAGGCCUUCCUCUUGGGCAUGGUCGGCCAAUUGGUGCGAAGGGAAGAUAGAACUUUUUCAUGUAUGCGACAGCAGCAGCAAGAAUACUCAUUGGGAAAUACUGGAAGACACAAGAAUUGCCUACCCGAGAAGAAUGGCAGAUGAAAGUGAUGGACUAUAUGGAAUUGGCUGAGAUGACCGGCAGAAUUCGAGACCGGGGAGAGGGGUCGAUGGAAGAAGAUUGGUAAAAUUUAAAAUAUAUCUUCAAAAAUAUUGCAACAUAAAAGAAUGUUAGAAAGAGGUUGGAAAAAGAAUAUUAGGUCGUUUUGGCAGAUAUGAUAUAAUGGAUUAAGUAAAAAUGAAAUAUAGAAAUUGAUGAAAUUGAGGAGGAUUAAUUAUAUUAUUGAAUGUUAAAAUAAGUAAAUGAAAAGAAGGUUAGAAGGAUCUGCUGGAAAUACGAUUUGAACUAGAAUACAGGGCUGGGAGGUGGGAGGAGGUCAUGGAAAUAAGUAAAAGGAAAAAAGGUUAGGUAAAGGUUUAAUCUGUUUUUUGCUUUAUCUUAAUGUAAUGUAUUUUUAUACUUUUUGUUAAGUUUUUCUUAUUGUCUGUUUUUUGUUAUAUGUGUAUUUUAUUUUGUAUGGCUUUUCUUUUCUUUUUUGUAAUUUUAAAUUUGGAAUAAAUAUCAUUUAAAAAAAAAAGAGAGAUUUUUUAUUUCAUUUUUUGUAUUUCGCUUCCUAUAAUUCCUAAUAGGGAGGCUUCUGGUUUUUUGACGAAGGAUAUUUUAAACAUUUUCUUUAGUUCAUUAUAUAUCAUUUCCCAUUUUUAAAAUAAUUAUACAUUGCCACCACAUAUGAUAAAAUGUACCUACUACUUCUUUACAUUUCCAACAUUUCUUAUCUUCUGAUUUAUACAUUUGUGAUAAUUUCACUGGUGUUAAAUACCACCUACACAUCAUUUUCAUGUAAUUUUAUUUUAUCAAUGUACAGGCCGUAAAUUUCAAAUUAUUUCUCCACUAUUUCCCCCAAUCUGACAUUUGAAUAUUAUGUCCCACAUCCAAGCGGGUGGUUCAAGGGGCCACGGUCUUGCAGAUAGGUGCCAUCCUGGAAAGUAACCUGCAUGCAAGGCACAACCAUACUGACUAUUGUUCCUCUGUUUCUCCAUGCCCCAGGUCCAGUGGACGGGCUGAAGAACCAGAAGUUCUUUUGACGAACUUCGGAUUAACUACAUCAAGGAACUAGAUCACACCAUUGCUUGCGAGAGGAAGAACCCUACUUCCUGCUCCUGGCAUUUCUACCAGCUCACUAAGCUCCUAGAGUCUGUGCAGCCUGUAAGUAAGAGGAGAAGGGAAGAGAAAGAGGUUGGCCACACAAAGGGCAAGAUCUUUUGUUAAUCUUUUGAUCAAAACCCCACAGAAUCUGCUGUUGAACUUGCGGGGGGGGGGGUCAAGGAGAGGAGAACAGACACCAGCAAACCUGUAAAAAUGAGCUCUGGGAGCAAAUCUGCGGAAAGUCACUGUGACCUCACAGUCAUUUCCUCCAAGAGGCAACUGUGCAGUCAAAGAGAUAGAUGCUUGUGGCACCCUAAAUGGCCUCAGCCUAGGAUACUUAAAGGAGCAUCUCCACCCCCAUCAUUCAGCCUGGACACUGAGGUCCCGCUCCGAGGGCCUUCUGGCAGUUCCCUCACUGCGAGAAGUGAGGUUACAAGGAACCAGGCAGUGGGCCUUCUCAGUAGUGGCACCCGCCCUGUGGAAGGCCCUCCCAUCAGAUGUCAAGUAAAUAACAACUUUAAAAGGCAUCUGAAGGCAGCCCUGUAUGGGGAAGUUUUUAAUGUCUGAUAUUUUAUCGUGGGUUUUUUUGUUUUUUUUAUAAGAUAUUUAUUGAGAUUUUCAAAAUGUUACAAAAUAAAAAUAAAAAAAAAGAAAAUACAAAAUAAAAAUGGUUAACAAAGUAAACAAAGAGAGAAACAAACCCUUCCAACAAUACAAAUACAAAUUC